rnacentral:lncRNA from 1 species
UAAAACUAUAUGUGGCUAAGGAGGUGUUACAAAUUGAAUACAUCAUAGAAGAUUGGGAGAUCGGAUUAUUAGUGAUUUAUUGAUGAUAUGGUUGAUGAUAUUGUUGAUGAUGAUGUUCUACUAAAUUAGAUAUAAACAUAUGAUAGACAAUUGAAUAAAGAAAAUUAUUUUGAUAAAAAAAUAUAUAGACGUAUGAUAGACAGUUUAUUAUAUCUCAUUGUAACUAGACCUGAUAAAAUAUUUAGUGUUGGGCUUUGUAUAAGAUUUCAAGAUAAUUUUAAAUAAUCUCACUUUAAAACAAUAAAAAGAAUUUUUAGGUACAGGAACAUCAUUUCUAGGAUUAUGAUAUCCUAGAUCUAAUAACUUUGAUUUGAUUAUUUAUACUAAUACUGACUUUGUAUAAUAUAGAAUAGAGAGAAAAAGUAUAUUUGGAACUCGUCAAUUCCUAGAUCAUGCACUUGUUUCUUGAUCAUCAAAGAAACAAAACUCUAUCACACUAUCUACAACUAAAGCUAAAUAUGUUACGGUAUGUGCAUGUUUUGUAUAGGUAAUUUGGAUGAAUAACACUUUAGAAGAUUAUGGACUUUACUUAAAAAUCAUCUAUCUAAAAUGAUAAUACUAAUUCAAUUUGUUUGACAAAGAAUCAUAUAUAACACUUUAGGACUAAGCACAUUCAUAUUAAAUAUCAUUUUAUUAGGGAUCAAUUGAUGAAACUAAUGAUAAGUUUAUUGGACUAAAUAUGUUUUUAAGAUAAGUGAUACAAGAAAUACUUCAAGAUUGAUGCUUGCAUGAGAUGUUUCUUAGUAGUCACAUGCCUAAGACAAUCCAAGCUAAGGCCAUGAAAGUGCAACACGCUUGUGAUAUCCAUUCAUAAAAGGAUCAAUUGCAUUCUCCUAGGGACCCACAUGGAGAAUCAGUGGGUUAGUGAACGUGAAUGCAUAGGCAAACUAAUCAUCACUCUCUCAAGCAUAAACUUGGAAAAGCACAACAAUAUUAACACAAACACUUUAUGAAUAAUGCAAUACAAAAAUAGACUUCAUAAAUUCAAAACAACAUGACAAGUGAGUGCACAUGCUACAUUGGUAGUUGAGCAAUACGAUGACCCAUCCUUAAAUAUUACCUGAUAUGGUUGAUAUUUCGAGUGACAUCUCUAUUCAAGUAGAUCCCAACAAGUUACGAUCUAGGGGCUUCAUUUUUUUAAUAAAAAUGGUUUUUCCUUGACCACGAGCUAUGAUUACAGGACAUAAAAUCCAAUAAAACCCAACCAACAUGGAGUUGUCUAACCAAAUAUAAGCCACUUACAUAUUAUCUAAGAUAUGUAUAAAUUGAAAGCAUGAACAUUACGUUAAACACAUUUGCUAUAAAUAACCCGUAACAAUACAAAUGCAUCUCUAUUGGCUUAUAUGGUUUAUGUAACCUUGAUGUAUCUCAAGGUUUCUCCUUGGGCCAUUUCAAGAAUCGCUCAAAAUAUAUAAAGCUUCAACUGAAACCAAACAAUAGCACGAGAAAACAGAAAUAAAGGCCACUACUACUAAAUGCAUUUAUUAGUCUUAGGUGGUGCACCCAAACCAAAUAAAGAUCUAGUGCAUAUUGUUUCUGUACUUUGUAUAGUAAACUCUAAUCUUGUGGGUUUAAUCCACUGACACAUGCUCUAAUCUCCAAGUUAUACUCCAAAAAAAAGAAGAAAAUAUGACAUUAAAUAAAGAUACUGAACAAUUAUUAAAUUUUGGGCAGUUUAAUUUAUUUAUUAACUUAUAAAAAUUAAGUUAGGGAUACAGGAAGCAAUACUCAUCAAUAUAUAUAGUCAACAUAAUAUGUAGACUCACUUCAAUGUGGUGAUGUUAUAAUAGAACAAAAUAAGAAAAAUACUAUUGAAUUUGCAUCACUAUAAAUUUUGAGGUGCAGAGAAGCCUUGCCAAACUUAGUAUUUUAAGCUACCUAUCUCGGCCAUAUUAUUGUAAUUUAACACUACGUACUGACAAGGUGACCAUAGCCGAUUCUGCUUCAACAUAUCGAUCAUCACAGUCUCUCCUGUCUUCAUGUCGUGACAACACAACAUUGCCUUCCUCCCCAUAGAAAAUAAUGUCAGAUCCAUGAAUACCUUAUCACCCCCACAGAAUGGUAGAAGUGAAAAAGAGUCAAUGUCCCUAAUGUUCAAAAAAUCUAAAACAUGGUACCUCUUAACCCAUUCUCCAUCCUUACUCAUCAUCCAUAUGAAAAUUGAAUUAUUUUUCAUAAAUAGAGUGCUUGUCAAAAUCUCUUCAUCAGUUACCCCGAUACAUUGACAAUAAACAUCAUCAUAAUAUAUUGGAAUGUCUUCAUAUUCUAUUGGCGACAUCAUGCUGCCUGAGAUAUUUUUAUCAAGGUCAAACCAUAUUAUGUAGGGAAAAUAGUUCCAAUAUAUGAUGCCUCUAGCGUACAACACAUUCCACCGAUACCUAUUGAACUCAUCUUUGAUAACAAGCUUCUGAUCAGAAAUUAUCCAUUUCCCUAUGUCCGAAGAGUAUAUCUUGAACUCAAUCUCAGUAAAUUCUAGUUCAUUGUCUUCUACUAGUUUUAUUAGUCUAUAACGGGUCGAAGUAGUUGAUGGUUCAAAGGCCAGGCCAAUAUUCUCAUAAACUUGAACUUGACUUUCAGGGAUGGCAUGACCCUCUUUUGUCACUGGAUUCCACACAUAAUGGAAGGUGCUCUCGUCUUCAUACAUGUACCAUUCGUUUUCGUUUUGUUCCUCCCAUCUUGUCAACAAUAACAAGAGGAGGCCAUUGGCAGAGGCAGCAAUAUACGCGGAACAUCCAGCAAUAUACGCAGAACAUCCAUCAGGAAGGGAGAAAGACAACUUAGUUUCACAAACGUCAUGUUGCCCAAUAAGGUUGACGGGCAUAAAGUCAAUAUUGUGAUCACAUAUCCACACAAAGCCAGGCAACCCACAACGGCGUGAGCGUUGGUGUGCGAAUGUAGGAUCAUGGUUGAUGAGAUGAUGCCAUUUCUUAUUGACGGACUUGAACUUGAAGAGAGCCUUAUUGGUAAGCCAUGGGAGAAUUUCCAAAUGAAUGAUGUCUUCGGGUAUCGUUGCCACUAUAGCGACCAUGUUUCUCUAUCAAGUAAGAGAAAAUAAUUAAUAGGUAAAUGUUAUAAGCCAAAGAAUAAAAAAAAAUCAAAAAGAAAAAACCAUCAAACAUUCAAAAAAAUGAACAUAUUGCUAGAUAUACUCCAAUCAAUAAAAUUUGUCACAACUCAAAACCAAGGAUGUGAUGAUUCAACAAAUGCGUAACCACAGAAUUUUAAAUAUUUAAACCCAAAUCAUACAGGUGGAAAAUUACAUUUAUUUCAAUUGACCUUAUCACACAACUAUAAUUGAAAUAAUAGCAGUGAAAGAUAUUGCAUAACAGCAGCGCUUAAUAAGAAGGGGUUGGGUUUCAUUAGUUGAGCUAGGAAGGUUACAACUAGAUUAGACUAAACAGGACUUAGGUCUGAAAUUUCAUGUCUUUUCUAUCCCCAUGUACAUCAAAUGCAGAGUUAUGCUUGUGCAUGAAUAUGACAUCACAAUCCAUCAAAAGAAAAUAAUUUGUUUCAAAAAAUCUUCAUUAAUUUCUUAAUCAAAAUCCAUCAAGAUUUCACCUUAAAUUGAUAGAAAAAUAUAAGUACAUGAAACCCAUUAAAAAAAUAAAUACUGAAAUAACAAAUCAAAAGAACCUGAAAGCACAUUUAUGUAGUCUUAAAGUGAAUUCUCAUUCCUUCAUCUACGAAUUAGCAAAGAUUUCUACUCAUUUUUUAAGUAGUAUUAUACCUCAUGCGAGCACAUUAGUAGAGAAACUUGAUGUACUGAACCAAAAAGCUGAACAAAAUUAAACAACAUAAUAUCUAUUGGGCUGAUUAAGACUAUUUAUAAUAUAAAAAUAUCUUAAAAGACACCUUAAAAUGAUUUUGUUCCAAGGGACACGUUCCUUCAAUAAGGUGAUUAUUGUAAUUACAUAGAACUAAUUUACAUUUUUUUAAUUUUCAGAAAACCUCCAUCAUAAGAAGCAUACCUUCAAAAUGGAGUGUGUAGUAUAUAUAGGAAAAACAGAUGGGACGCUCCCUAGAGGAAAGUCAUACUAGACAAUUAAAUUAUAUAUUUAUUAUAUAUAGGAAAGAAAAAAAUCCCAUCAAUAUGUUCUCCUCUAAAAAAUCUCAUAUUUAGAAAACGACAUAACUUCCAAAAUAGUUCCCAAACCAAAUUAUCAUUAGUUGCAUGUUAUGAGAAAAAGAAAACUGAAAGAGUAAUUGCAGAAUACUACAGUAAAUCAUACACAAAAAUUAAAAAAAAUAAAAGCAAAAACUAGCUUUAAAAUGGGAUAAAUUUUAACAUGUAUUUUUUAUAAAGAUAAUGUCAAGUGUGGUUGUCUGUUACUGAGGGAUGAAGCCUAUCAAAUGAAGCUUGAAUCCAAUGUUUGAUGUACUCAGGAAUCACAGCAAGCAUUAUUGAUAUGAUCACAUUGGGUGAUUGGAUAAGGAAAAUUUUGAUUCCGACCCCUAGAAACCUAGUGUUAGAGGUAUACCGAGAGCUCCUGUUAUAAAACUAUAUGUGGCUAAGGAGGUGUUACAAAUUGAAUCCAUCAUAGACGAUUGGGAGAUGGGAUUAUUAGUGAUUUAUUGAUGAUAUGGUUGAUGAUGAUGUUCUAGUGUCAACUAGAUGAUGUUUUUAAAAGUAAAAAUAAAAAAAUUAUUGCUGAAACUGAUACGAAAUAGUCCCUCAAAGCAAAUUCAAAGAUCCAAGUACAAACGAUAACAUUUUCUCCAAAGACUAUAGAGCUUGUUGGCUCUAGCAUGCGUAGACAAUCAAUUAGCUACAUACCUUCCUCCAUGAAAUACAUACGAGAUUUUAUAAUAAUGCAUGAUAGACAAUAAAUACAAAAUGUUCAUAAUAAUAUUCAAAAUUAGCCAUGGGACAGAAGGUUGUUUACUAAUGAUAUCCACCUUCAUCAUAUAGACUGUCUCGAUACGAACUCGAUGGAGACCAUCCUAAUAAGCUAAUAAGAUAACUUUUGCCUCAUAAACUAUUGUCCUACUUCUUCAAAUACUCUUAGAAAAACAACAAAAGCAUUAUCGUGUCUAUCAGUGUCUAGCAAUGAAGUCAAUACUGCAAUUACAAUUUAAUUUGAUCCAACGAAAAGCUAGUUUUUCCCAUUUAACAAGGAAGGACAACGACUAACAUUUCUCACAAAUUCAUUUUGGUUCAUCAUAUCAUGAAUUUAUGAGACAAUUUUGAAAAAUAAACCAAAAAUAGAUUAUAUCAAAUUAUUAAAAAUAGAAUCAUUGGAGCCCUCAAUAAGACCAUAAAUUUGUAGCAAUAAAAGAUAUUUGUCAAGAAGCCUCAAAAUCUGGCAGAAGUAAACCCACAUUAAUCUAAAGGCCAGCUAGCCAAUAAUCAAAAAGAUGAAAAUGUAAACCAAGUCAAUUCUCACAAAGAGACUAAAAAGCCAAGUGAGUUAGAAUAAUGAAACAACACAUGUUCAGUAUAUUCUAAAUCAAUAUUACAAAAAGUGCAUAGCUUGCACUCACAAAU